rnacentral:rRNA from 1 species
GACGAACGCUGGCGGCGUGCUUAACACAUGCAAGUCGAACGGUAAGGCCCUUCGGGGUACACGAGUGGCGAACGGGUGAGUAACACGUGGGUGAUCUGCCCUGCACUUCGGGAUAAGCCUGGGAAACUGGGUCUAAUACCGGAUAGGACCACUGCCUGCAUGGGUGGUGGUGGAAAGCUUUUGCGGUGUGGGAUGGGCCCGCGGCCUAUCAGCUUGUUGGUGGGGUGAUGGCCUACCAAGGCGACGACGGGUAGCCGGCCGGAGCGGGUGACCGGCCACACGGGGACUGAGAUACGGCCCAGACGCCUACGGGGGGCAGCAGUGGGGAAUAUUGCACAAUGGGCGCAAGCCUGAUGCAGCGACGCCGCGUGAGGGAUGACGGCCUUCGGGUUGUAAACCUCUUUCAGCACCGACGAAGCGCAAGUGACGGUAGGUGCAGAAGAAGGACCGGCCAACUACGUGCCAGCCGCCGCCGUAA